CCUCAUCCCAGUACACAGCACUAACACAUAGCAGGCCUGUAACAGAUAAUUUGUUAAAUGAAUAAGGCAAAUAAACUUUUUAAAGCAUAUGACUAGUAUCUUCUUAUAUUAAUUUCAUUACCUGCAUAUUCAUAAAACCAAGCCAGGCACUUCUUGCUUGAAAAAUGUUCCUCUCCACUUAUUAGUCUAGCAGGGGGUUGGGAUCUGCAAUAGCUGGAGAUUUUACACUUUUUGAGGCCUCCGUCUUCCGCUACUGCUGCUGCCACCCCAGGGGAUUUUCUCUUCUUCUUCACCGGCAUCUUCCGCCCUCCCCGGCAGGGUGGGCAGGGGAGCCGGGGAAGGGGGUCCCUGUCCGCUGGAAGCCCCUCAGCGCUGGCACCCAGUUCCCAGAGACAGCAGCAAGCGGAGGAGCAGAGUCGCCAGCCCGCACCGGCGCGGCCCAGCCCGGCCGCCGCCCGCUCCCAGGUAUCCUCGUCGUCUUUCUCUGACCGGGACAGGGCUGGCUCCUCGCCGGUGGACACUGCGGUUCGUUCUCACCGGGAGGAGAUAACGCGGACAGCGCGGCAGCUCCACCAGUCACAGCAAGCAAGAGGCUCAGCCUAACCCGGAGGCGAAUCGCUGAGGCCCGGAAGUGACGCAAUCGCGGAGCCGGUCCCGGGAAGGGGCGUGGUUCCGGUUAGCCUCUGCCACUCGUAGGUAGGCCAGGCAGAGCGAAGCUGUCUGACCCGUCGACUGCGGCAGUCCGCGGAAUUCUUGUAUCCUGUCCAGGGUAUCCUGACCUUUCUCAUGAAGCUUCUACCGCGCUCUGAUGCUGGCAGUCACCGCCAAAAAGUGAAACUACUAAUACUUUGCAGUUGACGUUAAAAACAACCUGGUAAAGUAGACCAAGUUCCACUUCUGAGCUCUUCCACACGAUAACCUCACCUGAAGUGUUCCCACCCCGUAAAUGCAUUGUCACCCUGUGUCUUGCGUGUUUUUUUUAUGGGCCUGUGAUCAGCCACCCACUCCCCCUUCUCCCUACCUUUGCAUAUCACUUUGUCCUGUAUUGAAACUUAGCUCUGCCAUUAUUUCCACAGAGCUCACCUCUCCGAUAAGAGACAGUAGGUGACUGCGACUCAGUAGAGAGAAAUUUGGGGGACAGUUCUAAGGAACCUCCCCCUAGACCCAAAACACACUGUAAUCUAUUCAUCUCCACUUAGGUGGAAAUACUGUUUUUAAAUAAUGGUUAUUGUAUGUAAAGACAUAG
rnacentral:lncRNA from 1 species